rnacentral:rRNA from 1 species
GACGAACGCUGGCGGCGUGCCUAAUACAUGCAAGUCGAACGCAGUGGGGACGGGUUAGUAACACGUGGGUAACCUCCCAUCAGAGGGGAUAACACUUGGAAACAGCUGCUAACGUGAUACUGAUGGAUGGACCCGCGGUGGAUUAGCUAGUUGGUGAGGUAACGGCCCACCCAGGCCACGAUGCAUAGCCUGCCUUGUGGGGUGGACGGCCACCCCGGGACUGGGACACGGCCCAGACUCCUACGGGAGGGAGCAGUAGGGAAUCUUUGGCAAUGGACGGAAAUCUGACCGAGCAACGCCGCGUGAUGUAAGAAGGUUUUCCGGUCGUAAAGCUCUGUUGUUAGGGAAGCGGUAACUAACCAGAAAGGGACGGCUAACUACGUGCCAGCAGCCGCGGUAAUAC